AGCAGUGAGGAAUAUUGGUCAAUAGUCGAAAGACUGAACCAGCAACUUGGAAGAAUGGAAAAUGAAAGUCAUAUAAAGUUCUAGAUAAAAUAAAGAGUAUGACGAUUUUUUAUCUAUAAGUCUUGACCAAAUUACGUGCCAGCAGUCGCGGUAAUACGUAGAAGACAAGUGUUAUUCAUCUUUAUUCGGUAUAAAGGGUACCUAGACAGAUUACCAAGCCUUAAUAGGGACUAGUUUUCUAGAGUUUUAUGUGGGAAUAUACGAAUUGCCAGAGGAGAGACAAAAUUCUAUUAUACUGGUAGGACGGAUGACGGCGAAGGCUUUAUUCUAAGUAAAAACUGACGUUGAGGGACGAAGCCUAGGGUAGCGAUAAGGAUUCGAUACCCUAGUAGUCCUAGGAGAAAAUUAUGAGUGCCAUAGGCUAAUUAUAUUUGGCUUAUAAAUGAAAGUGUAAGCACUCCACCUCAUGACUAAGGCGGAAAUGCACAAAUUGAAAUCAUUAGACCGUUUCUGAAACCAGUAGUGAAGUAUGUUAUUUAAUUCGAUGAUCCGCGAAUAACCUUACCACGCCUUGAAUAGUAUGUCACAAUACAAGUGCUGCACGGCUGUCUUCAGUUAAUGUCGUGAGACUUUGGUUAAUUCCUUUAAUUAACGAAAACCCUAGCUUUAUUUAUUUUUAAAGUGUUUUUCUACAAAUGGAAAUAGUAACUGGGACCAAGACAAGUCAUCAUGGCCUUAAUAGCGUGGGCUAUAGAC
rnacentral:rRNA from 1 species